UGGGGAAUAUUGGGCAAUGGGGGAAACCCUGACCCAGCGACGCCGCGUGAGGGAAGAAGGCCUUAGGGUCGUAAACCUCUGUUGUGUGGGAAGAAGAGCGUGACGGUACCACACGAGGAAGUCCCGGCUAACUACGUGCCAGCAGCCGCGGUAAUACGUAGGGGACGAGCGUUGUCCGGAUUUACUGGGCGUAAAGGGCGCGUAGGCGGUCAUUUAAGUCAGCUGUGAAAUGGUUUGGCUUAACCGGAUCAUGCGGUUGAAACUGGAUGACUGGAGUGCUGGAGAGGCAAGUGGAAUUCCCAGUGUAGCGGUGAAAUGCGUAGAUAUUGGGAAGAACACCGGUGGCGAAGGCGACUUGCUGGCCAGCAACUGACGCUGAGGCGCGAAAGCCAGGGGAGCAAACGG
rnacentral:rRNA from 1 species